AGACUACUGCCUGGUAGUUCUCUAGUACCUGGGAUGGUUCAGACCCUGGAUUGUUUCAUAUAGCAGAACGAGAUGCCAUCCUCUACUAAAUUCUUCAGGAAGGAAAAGCUGAAGGGCAGAGCUGACAGAACAGGAAGCUCUCCAGCACUAUGGAUUGAAAUGGAUCUGCAUCACUGACCAUCUGUAUUGCUCAGAGAUUCAGCUCCUCACACCUCUUCCAUCAAUCUCUGGGAAGACUUAUUACUCCAGCUAUUAAAGUCAAUAGGCAUUACCCAUUUUAUUUUAUUAGCACUGACUGAGGCAGUGUUAGUCUGACCACCAAUAUGAAGGAGCUGUUCCAUCCUAACCACAUCACCACUAAAA
rnacentral:lncRNA from 12 species